UUGCCAGCGUCACUUUCCAAGCCAGCCAGCAGUGAGUCUCCACGUCUCAUUUUUCACCUCAUUCUCUGUCGUGCCUAAACUUCUCCAAGAUGAGCUACAGGCCAUCCCAUGUCUCGAUGACCCGCUCCACACCCCAGUACCGUUCUUUCAGCGUUCAUGGUGGUCCUGGUGCAGUAGACCGCAGCCGCAUUUCCUCUGUCUCCACAUCUUUCCUGCGGUCCAGUGCCCCGAUCUCUUCCUCCUCUGCUUUCAGGGUGAGCAGUGGAGUGGGUAGUGGCAUGAGCUCAGGUUUUGGUGGUGCAUCCAUGGCAACUGGUGCUGGUGCUGGUGCUGGUGCUGGUGCCGGUGCUGGGAUCAUGGGCAAUGAGAGGGGAGCCAUGCAGAACCUGAACGACCGCCUGGCCAACUACCUGGAGACGGUGAGAAAUCUGGAGCGGGCCAACAAGGACCUGGAGAUGAAGAUCAAGGAGGCUCUGGAGAGGGGAGGGCCCGACAUGAGAGACUACAGCAAGUAUGAGCCCAUCAUAGAAGAUCUGCGCAGACAGAUCUUCGACAAGAUUGUGGACAACGCUCGUUUUGUGCUCCAGAUCGACAAUGCCCGUCUUGCUGCCGAUGACUUCAAAGUGAAGUUUGACAACGAGUUGGCAAUCCGUCAGUCUGUGGAGGCCGACAUUGCUGGGCUGAAGAAAGUCAUAGACGACACCAACAUGACCAGGAUGAACAUCGAGAGUGAGAUCGAAGCUGUGAAGGAGGAACUCGCCUUCCUAAAGAGGAACCAUGAGAAUGAGGUGAUGGAGCUAAGGAAUCAGAUCUCCCAAUCAGGCGUGCAAGUGGACGUCGACGCCCCCAAAGGUCAGGACCUGGCCCAGAUCAUGGAGGACAUGAGGGGUAACUAUGAGAAGAUUGCCAUGAAGAAUGCAGAGGAACUCAAACGGUGGCAUGAAAACCAGAUUGCAGAUGUGCAGGUGGAGGUAUCACAGAACACAGAAGCUCUCCAGGGAGCCCAGAUGGAGAGGGGUGACUUAUCCAGACAGAUACAGACUCUGGAAAUUGAACUUGCAUCCCAACAAAGCUUAAAAGCCUCCUUAGAGGACACACUACGCAACACAGAGCAACGAAACAACAUGGAGAUGGACAAGUACAACAACAUUAUUAUCCGUCUGGAGGAGGAGCUGACCAACUUGCGCGCAAACAUCCAGCAGCAGACCCACGAGUAUGAGGUGCUGCUCAACAUGAAGAUGAAACUGGAGGCUGAGAUCGCCACUUACAAGAGCCUGCUGGAUGGUGGAGACUUCAAGUAAGAUUUAGGUGGAGGAGAAAAAAAACAGAUCGAAGCAAGGUGUUGAUGGUGGUGGAGGCUCCAGGACGCACUGGAUGAGCUGGCGGCCACAAGCUAAUUUGGAACAAAGAAUCUGGGACCAGCCCAACAAUGAAAACAGAAAAACCCACAACUAUCCAUUAUGGAAAAAAAAUCCAUGCCGGGCCAAUUAACUAAAGCCAAAUUGAACCAAGAUCACAUACUGUGUAAACCAUAAAUGAUUUAAGCAGUAUUGAAUAAAGGCAUUCGGCCACACCGCAGUAACACAGGCAGGGCCAUUUGAAAAGAAACCACUGCCUGACCUGAAAGCAAAAUAAAACCACUUGUUGACCCACA